rnacentral:tRNA from 1 species
UCCGAUAUGGUGUAGUGGCUAACAUUAUCGCCUCUCAAAUGGUGCGUGAUAGCCCGGGGUUCGAUUCCCCGUGUCGGAA